rnacentral:tRNA from 1 species
AAAGACUUAGUUAAAUAAAUAACAUUGGCUUGUCAAGUCAAAAUUAUUAUAAAUAUAAUAGUUUUUG